ensembl:snRNA U6 U6 spliceosomal RNA
GUGCUUGCUUCGGCAGCACAUGUACUAAAAUUGGAACAAUACAGAGAAGAUGAGCAAGGCCUCUGCACAAGGAUGACACACAAAUUUGUGAAGCAUUCCAUAUGUUU